AUUCAUAUUUUCUGCAGGUUAAAUGUCGCAUUUGUACGACAGAAUUGUCGUACAUUAACAAAUCCACCUCCUCAAUGCUGAGGCAUUAUAGGUCCAGGCAUGAAAAUGAAGUUCCAGAGACACCCAGGAUAAACUCAGCUAUCAGGAAGCAGAUGCUGGAUGAGGCUCUGCUGAACUUCAUUGUCAGGAAUGCCAGCCCCUCAGCAUUGUGGAGAGUGAAGGGUUCAGGGAACUAGUGCAGGUCCUUGAGCCAUCAUGUUUUGCCUACCAGAAAGACCAUCAAAAAAAUGCUGGAGGAACGGGAACGAGUGAAUUGGAAGUACAGCAAGCUGUGGCAGUGAAGGCAAAGGUCCUCCAGUUGCUCCCUGGGGAAACGAAAGAGCCGCUGAGGAUCUGCGGGGGACAGAAGAGUGUCAAGAAAAAAACGAAAGAAGUUGAAGGUGCGUUCUCACCUUUGGUCAUCAUGAUGUGAUGCUUCUUCCACGGCUUCACAUCACGUGCGGCAUCUGCUGAGACAAGACCUUAGGCUGUUCGUCUCUGUUGGUCUCGCAUAUUUUUUUUAGACAAACAAACCUGGAACAGUCGCCAUGAGUCCUCCCCUCAUCAGCCCCACAUCGCGAACUGGGAGGUCCCCCGCUGUCUCGUCCACCACGGGAGACAUCACACCUUCACACAAUCAAUCAAAGCACCUGAAUGGAGUUUAAAUGACAAGCACUAUAAACACAAUGGAGUCAUAUGGAUAUUUUUAACCUUACCCUGGUUUUCCAGCAAUUCCUGCGCCGUGUCUUCUUUUAUAUCUGCUUGAACAACAUGGGGUUUAAUCCAUCUUCAUCCUGUCCUCUUCUUGAGCCUCUGCCUGUGUGUGCACUUUGGCUCAAAGUAAACCUGAAGACCGCCUCAC